rnacentral:rRNA from 1 species
CGUAGGUGGCGAGCGUUGUCCGGAAUUACUGGGUGUAAAGGGCGCGUAGGCGGGGAUGUAAGUCAGAUGUGAAAUACCAUGGCUCAACCGUGGGGCUGCAUCUGAAACUAUGUUUCUUGAGUGCUGGAGAGGAAAGCGGAAUUCCUAGUGUAGCGGUGAAAUGCGUAGAUAUUAGGAGGAACACCAGUGGCGAAGGCGGCUUUCUGGACAGUAACUGACGCUGAGGCGCGAAAAGCGUGGGGGAGCGAACAGGAUU